rnacentral:miRNA from 14 species
UGUGUGUGUGUGUGUGUGUGUGUGUGUGUGUGUGUGAAUAGAUGUGUUGAGUGUGGGUACAGCAUGGUGCGUAGUGUAAGCCACUGAGUGAGCGUACACACACACACACACACAAACACACACACACACA